rnacentral:rRNA from 1 species
UACAGAGGGUGCAAGCGUUGUUCGGAAUCAUUGGGCGUAAAGGGCGUGUAGGCGGUUUUGUUAAGUCAUGUGUGAAAUCCCUCGGCUCAACCGGGGAACGACGCAUGAAACUGGCAAGCUAGAGUACCAAAGAGGGCGGUGGAAUUCCCGGUGUAGUGGUGAUAUGCGUAGAUAUCGGGAGGAACACCUGUGGCGAAGGCGGCUUUCUGGGCCUUACCUGACGCUGAGACGCGAAAGCGUGGGGGAGCGAACCGG